CUGAUGUAAUGUUAUAAUGUAGAAUAGAACAUGCUAUUUGUUAAAUGUACAUAAUGCUGCAAUUACCACUACUCCUUUCUCUUUAGGUCUUUAUUUGGUCCCAGGAACAGAUGUACAGUAACAUUUUGUAAAUACUGUACUAUAAAAUCAGUGACUGCUAACCAGUGUUGAGGAAUAGCUAGACUUACGAGUGACUGAAAUAAUAAGAGGAUGCCUAGUUUGGGGAUGAUUGCUGCUUUCUUGCCUACAGGAUAUAUCAAGGCUAUUCCAAGUUCACUUCUAAAUAAUUAGAACAACUGCGGUAAAAGAGAAUUUGAAAGGAAGAAACCAUGUGUGCAGGACACUCUGUGGAACCUAAAGCAGAAUAAGCAGUAACCUUUUUCUGCAACAUGGCUGUUACACACAACUGGUACAAUUGGCCACAGUGUUUUUUUACCCUAAAUGUAUCCAAUUUUCAGGCCAUAGUAAAACUAAAAAGUUUGCUUUCAAGUGACAUAUUCUCAUAGUUAACAACUUCAAAAGAAAUAUGAAGGGAUAAAUGGAUGUUUGGCUUCUUUAAUGAAUAUCAAUCUCGAGAAAAGACAUAGCCAGUCAAUACCAGAAUGUACUAAAUGCAGGCUUACUGUAAAAUAACAAUAUGAAAAAUGUAUUAUGUUUAGGCCUUUAGCUGUUGAUUUUUUAUAAUAUCUUCUUGACCCAUAAAAUUUACU